rnacentral:rRNA from 1 species
UACGUAGGGGGCAAGCGUUGUCCGGAUUUAUUGGGCGUAAAGAGCGUGUAGGCGGUUCGGUAGGUCCGUCGUGAAAACUCGAGGCUCAACCUCGAGACGCCGAUGGAAACCAUCGGACUAGAGUCCGGAAGAGGAGAGUGGAAUUCCUGGUGUAGCGGUGAAAUGCGCAGAUAUCAGGAAGAACACCCGUGGCUAAGGCGGCUCUCUAGUACGGUACUGACGCUGAGACGCGAAAGCGUGGGGAGCGAACAGG